rnacentral:piRNA from 1 species
UGGCUGUGUCCAUGUCAGAGCAACGGCC